rnacentral:misc_RNA from 1 species
ACCGACACGCAUGACUACGACGUCAAGAUGCGCAACGUCGUCCGCUUCCUGGAGAAUGGCGACAAGGUGAAGGUCACGCUGCGCUUCCGCGGCCGCGAGAUGGCGCACCAGAACCUUGGCCGCGACCUGCUGGAACGUGUCGCCGAAGACAUCAAGGAACUGGGCAAGGUCGAGAACAUGCCCAAGAUGGAAGGCCGCCAGAUGGUCAUGAUGAUCGGUCCGCUCGCCAAGUGAGCGGCCGCCCAUACGACCAAGACGACCUGAUGAUCCCCCGCUUCUGCGGGGGUUUUUCAUUCCGGGGCGACGGUUGCCGCGUC